GCGCGAAAACUUCGCAAUGCGCGAAAGCGUGACGAGGUCAUCCCGAGUGCCGGCCAGGUGAAUAAGGGGAGGGCAAGUCUGGUGUCAGCCGCCGCGGUAAUACCAGCUCCCCGAGUGGUUGGGACGAUUAUUGGGUCUGAAGCGUCCGUAGCCGGCCGGAAAUGUUCCCCGUUAAAUCCAACGAUUCAAUCGUUGGGCUGCGGGGAUUACUUUUCGGCUUGGGGGCGAGGGAGGUCGGCGGUAGUCCCGGGGUAGGGGCGAAAUCCUAUAAUCCCGGGAGGACCACCAGUGGCGAAGGCGGCCGACUAAAGCGCGCCCGACGGUGAGGGACGAAAGCUGGGGGAGCGAACGGGAUUAGAUACCCCGGUAGUCCCAGCUGUAAACGAUGCAGGCUAGGUGUUGGGACGGCUACGAGCUGUUCCAGUGCCGCAGGGAAGCCAUUAAGCCUGCCACCUGGGAAGUACGGCCGCAAGGCUGAAUUUUCAAUGAA
rnacentral:rRNA from 1 species